GCAAAAUGUAUCUACGGAGGGAAAGUCCUUGCAGAAGGCCAGCGGAUUUUAACCAAGAGCUGUCGGGAAUGCCGAGGUGGAGUUUUAGUGAAAAUUACAGAAGCGUGCCCUCCUUUGAACUGCUCAGACAAGGAUCACAUUCUCCCAGAGAAUCAGUGCUGCAGCGUCUGCAGAGGUCAUAACUUUUGUGCGGAAGGACCUAAAUGUGGUGAAAAUUCAGAGUGCAAAAACUGGAAUACAAAAGCUACUUGCGAGUGCAAGAAUGGUUAUAUCUCUGUCCAGGGGGACUCCGCCUACUGUG